GACGGAGGAGGAAAGAGUUAUCCGGAAUUAUUGGGCGUAAAGGGUACGUAGGCGGCUGGCCAAGUCUGGGGUCAAAGGCCACAGCUCAACUGUGGGAAGGCCCUGGAAACUGACCGGCUAGAGUGAGGUAGGGGUUGCGGGAAUUCCCGGUGUAGCGGUGAAAUGCGUAGAGAUCGGGAAGAACACCUGAGGCGGAAGCGCGCAACUGGGCCUCAACUGACGCUGAGGUACGAAAGCUAGGGGAGCGAAUGGG
rnacentral:rRNA from 1 species